rnacentral:misc_RNA from 1 species
GGUUUAUUUAAUCAGGUGACAUCAAGAGUUUUCAUAUACAAUAAUGGAGAAUGGAAACGAGGCAGAAGAAGUGAUGGUAGUGCAGGAAGGUAACCAUCAAGAACUUGGAAAUGGAAGAAACCUACUUGUUAAACAAGAUUUAUUGGAUUUGGAGGGUGGUAGUCAUAAUACUGCUAAGACAAUGAAAUGGGGAAGCAUAUUCAAGCUUCCGUUUCAAUGUAUUGGGGUUGUUUAUGGUGAUUUGGGUACGUCUCCAUUGAAAAUAAAUUGAGGGUAAAACUCUCUCUAUUAUCUUAGAGAGAGAAAAUCCUGUGUGUGUUGUCUUUAGUCUAUUUUUACU